rnacentral:rRNA from 1 species
UACAGAGACUGCAAGCGUUAUUCGGAUUCACUGGGCGUAAAGGGUGCGCAGGUGGCCAAGUGUGUUAGGCGUGAAAGCCCGGGGCUUAACCCCGGAAUUGCACCUAAAACUACUUGGCUAGAGCAUUGGAGAGGGGAGCAGAAUUCAUGGUGUAGCAGUGAAAUGCGUAGAUAUCAUGAGGAAUACCAGAGGCGAAGGCGGCUCCCUGGACAAUUGCUGACACCCAGGCACGAAAGCGUGGGGAGCAAAAGGG